GAUGAACGCUGGCGGCGUGCCUAAUACAUGCAAGUCGAGCGAACGGACGAGAAGCUUGCUUCUCUGAUGUUAGCGGCGGACGGGUGAGUAACACGUGGAUAACCUACCUAUAAGACUGGGAUAACUUCGGGAAACCGGAGCUAAUACCGGAUAAUAUUUUGAACCGCAUGGUUCAAAAGUGAAAGACGGUCUGGCUGUCACUUAUAUAUGGAUCCGCGCUGCAUUAGCUAGUUGGUAAGGUAACGGCUUACCAAGGCAACGAUGCAUAGCCGACCUGAGAGGGUGAUCGGCCACACUGGAACUGAGACACGGUCCAGACUCCUACGGGAGGCAGCAGUAGGGAAUCUUCCGCAAUGGGCGAAAGCCUGACGGAGCAACGCCGCGUGAGUGAUGAAGGUCUUCGGAUCGUAAAACUCUGUUAUUAGGGAAGAACAUAUGUGUAAGUAACUGUGCACAUCUUGACGGUACCUAAUCAGAAAGCCACGGCUAACUACGUG
rnacentral:rRNA from 1 species